UAGAAACAACAAACAUGUCAGUUUUAGUAAACUAAUUACGAAUUUGAAGUUUCAUAACCAAGAAGCCAAAAUGUUGAUCCAACUCUUUGUUUUGACUUUAAAUGUCGCUCAAUCGAUGUACGUGCCUGAUGAUGCAUUGACAGAUGACUGGCAAUCGCUGGUAUUCGCAGCACCGUUUGAACACGGAAAUAUACUAUCAGCCAAAUGCGCCGUAUUCAGUGAUAAUUUUUGCCUGCUCGGUUUCAUAGUAUACACACAACAAACCAGAAGACCCCCACUUGAUAUCGACGCCUUCAGAUUCCUAGAUUUGAUCGAUAAUAAUUACCCAGAAAUCAACUUCUACUCAUUCUCUACGACCCGUC